UCGUUGUUUUAUUGUUGUUGAGUUUUACAGUAGAAAAAGUGGAAAAAUUGUGGAUUUGUUAAUAUCUGUUAGAGUCAACUUACCAGAUUCCGAGCAACAAAGGAGAGUCCAAGAACAACCUGGACAGUCCAUUGGUAAGCUGUGGACACCAUCGUUUAAGAAGGUUAAGAAGAACUUAAAAUGGAGAGUCCCUUGAAUGAUUCAAAUGUGGAAAAAGAAAACCUUUGAGAAAAGAUA